rnacentral:rRNA from 1 species
UACUGGUUAUCUUGAGUUGUAUUGAAGUAGGCGGAAUAUGUAGUGUAGCGGUGAAAUGCAUAGAUAUUACAUAGAACACCAAUUGCGAAGGCAGCUUACUAAGUACUAACUGACGCUGAUGGACGAAAGCGUGGGUAGCGAACAGGAUUAGAUACCCUGGUAGUCCACGCCGUAAACGAUGGAUACUAGCUGUUCGGGGCCUUGAGCUCUGAGCGGCUAAGCGAAAGUGAUAAGUAUCCCACCUGGGGAGUACGUUCGCAAGAAUGAAACUCAAAGGAAUUGACGGGGGCCCGCACAAGCGGUGGAGCAUGUGGUUUAAUUCGAUGAUACGCGAGGAACCUUACCAGGGCUUAAAUGUAGUCUGACAGCUUUAGAGAUAGAGUUUUCUUCGGACAGAUUACAAGGUGCUGCAUGGUUGUCGUCAGCUCGUGCCGUGAGGUGUCAGGUUAAGUCCUAUAACGAGCGCAACCCCUGUCGUUAGUUGCCAGCAUGUCAUGAUGGGGGACUCUAACGAGACUGCCGGUGCAAACCGCGAGGAAGGUGGGGAUGACGUCAAAUCAUCACGGGCCCUUACGUCCUGGGCCACACACGUGCUACAAUGGGCCGGUACAGAGAGCAGCCACGUCGCAAGGGCGGGAGCGAAAUCUAUAAAAACCGGUCACAGUUCGGAUC